GUGAUAGAGGCGCGGAUGCCAUCAGUACGCUCCGAUACCCGGCAGGAACCGGGGAGCGGAAAGGGACAGCCGCCGAAGUGUUCGCUUCGAUUCCUGUCGGGCGGAUGCUGGGUCGCCGGAGAACAUCCGGCGGACUGUCGAGUACCUUACUCGGAGCGCUGUC
rnacentral:ncRNA from 1 species